UACGGAGGGUGCAAACGUUGCUCGGAAUUAUUGGGCGUAAAGCGCACGUAGGCGGUUCGUUAUGUCGGAUGUGAAAGCCUCGGCUUAACCGAGGAAGUGCAUCCGAAACUGGCGAGCUUGAGUAUGGAAGAGGGUCUCGGAAUUCCCGGUGUAGAGGUGAAAUUCGUAGAUAUCGGGAAGAACACCCGUGGCGAAGGCGGCUCUCUGGGACGGUACUGACGCGUGAGACGGCGAAAGCGUGGGGAGCGAACAGG
rnacentral:rRNA from 1 species